GACGAACGCUGGCGGCGUGCUUAACACAUGCAAGUCGAACGGGCGAAGUGAUAGCUUGCUAUUAUGGAGCCUAGUGGCAAACGGGUGAGUAACGCGUAGGCAACCUGCCCUUCAGAUGGGGACAACACCUCGAAAGGGGUGCUAAUACCGAAUGACGUUUCCUAGUCGCAUGACCUGGAAACCAAAGGCCGGGGCAACCGGUCACUGAAGGAUGGGCCUGCGUCUGAUUAGCUAGUUGGUGGGGUAACGGCCCACCAAGGCGACGAUCAGUAGCCGACCUGAGAGGGUGACCGGCCACAUUGGGACUGAGACACGGCCCAAACUCCUACGGGAGGCAGCAGUGGGAAUAUUGCACAAUGGGGGAAACCCGUGACCCAGCAACGCCGCGUGAAGGAAGAAGGCCUUCGG
rnacentral:rRNA from 1 species